CUCAAUCCUCUAUAUAACACCUCUCCCCUCUAAAACUCCCAACAAAUACACAGACAUAAAGGUCUUCCUCUCUCUCUCUCGGUUAUACACAGGGAACAAACACAGUCAUAUAUUUGUCUCCUGCCCUUCAAUUCCCACACCACACACACACAAAACAAAAGGAAAAGAAACACAGAGAAGCCAAACAACCCCUCUCCCUCUCCGGUGCUUUUUCCGGCGGCAAACUGGCUCCGAUCGGAGCUCCGGCGACCACACCCACACCGGUAAACCCCCCCCCCCUUGUUACAGAACUGAAACAGACCACCACCACCACUAAUCGGUGGUGGUGCGGUGGUGUGGCAGUCGAGACGAAAGAGAGAGGAACGGUGGCGCGUGGUGGCGCGUGGCGGCAACGAGCAGAAAGAAAGAGAGAGAACGCAGCUAGAGAGAGAAACUCGGGAGAGAGAUGAACGGAGGCGGAGCAGCGCCGCCGCUCACGGCGGCGGCAGUAGCGGCAGGGCGGUGGUUCGAAUCUCGGUCCAAAGAGUUUCCGGCUCAGUGAAGUCUCGGCUCAGUUGGUUCAGUUGCGGGUCAGUUUUGGUCGCACGAGUACGGGUCAACAGGAGGCUCACAUAGAUCGGUUUCAGGUCACUUCAAGUUGCGGAUUCAGGAUCUUGUUGUUGGUUCGGGUCUUGUUCGGCACGAGUCACGGCUCGGUUUUAGGUUCGGUUCGCGCAUCGGGUUCUCGGUUCGGUCAAAACAGUCAACAAAAGUCAACACGGUUGACUCGGUCAACUCAACGAGUCGACUCGGUCAAUAUCCCGACGCGAAGACUCGGAAUAUUGUAGAAUGCACGCUAGCAAGUCAAGUCUUGGAAACGACAUCAUCGAAGUCGUAAUUAGCUAGCUUUACACAGGAAUAUUCAGGCGAGUUCAUAACCCCCACUUUUUACUGUUUUACAUUCUUUUUGUAAAUGUUUUCGGGGUGGAAAGUCAUGCACGAUUUUCAGAAACAUACAAAGUUUUGAACAAAUGCAAAACUCGUAUUUCUAAAUCAUAUCACGAAUGGAUUUCGAGGAACUCAAAUGAUUUACGAAAGGUUUAUACUAAACAUACCGGUUUUUACAAAACAAAUGCUUAUUCUCGAAAUAUGAACGAUUUUUUUUUUAUAAUUAAGGAGCCAGUCAGGGUGGCUGGGAAGGUUCAGUCAGGGUGGCUGGGAAGGUUCAGUCAGGGUGGCUGGGAAGGUUCAGUCAGGGUGGCUGGGAAGGUUCAGUCAGGGUGGCUGGGAAGAUUCAGCCAGGGUGGCUGGGGUGGAAUAUAUGUUAUAGUAAUUACGAAUAAUUUUUACAUGGUAUGGUUAGCGUAAGGGGGUUUACUAUUUAGAUCAUGUGAAUGGGUAGGCGGAAACUUGAGGUCAUUAAUCCUCAGGGUGGGGACCGAGGGGCAGGAGCGGUAGAUCUAUUUGGGUGUAGCGAGCCCAGUCUCAGGUCCAGCAUAACGGACCUUGGGAUGACUUUGUUCCCGACGCAUAAAUUUGCUAGGUUUGAGCCUUCCUACUUGCAUUUCACACAUAUCAAUGGCCUUGCAAACCAUUGGUGAUCUCUUUUUCCUUAUCUGCUACAUACCAGGGAUUUUAUACUUACGGAAACUUUUAGUUCAUACAAUUUAGCUACCGUGUUUUAUACAAAUCCAAAGAAUUAUGGGGGUAUAGAGUCAAAGUCAGGGUGGGCAUUGACGGUUAUGCGAAUAUUACAAAUACAAGGCUUUACAAAAACAUGGUUUUAUGAACAUGACGUGUUACAAACACAACGUUUCCAUAUAACUUGGCAAGAAAAUGAUUUUUAAAUUCAUUUUCUCAAUACUAAUUCGAAAACCGGUUAUUACCAAAGAUUUAUUUCAAACCUUUCACAACUCAAAAGAUUUAUUUCAGAUCUUUUACAAACAAACUAUGAACUCGCUCAACCUUAUGUUGACUUUUUCGCAUGUUCUUUCUCAGGUUACUUUUCAAACAAUGGAACGGUUGGAAUAGGAAGACCAUGAAGAGUCGAGUACUUAGUGGCGUUCAUUUUCUAAAAGACUUAGAUUGUUUGCUUCCGCUGUGCAAUGAAGAUACCAGUCCAGUCACGCCAAUGCUCUGAUAAUUUCGGGGUGUGACAGAUUGGUAUCAGAGCUAUAGGUUACAGCGAAUUAGGUUUCUGUUGUGAUACCUAGGCUCUAACCUCACCUUUCCCCCUGGGGACUUAGAUCAUUGAGACGUUGAACACAUACAGAACGCCUAGUACUCGAAUAUGGUCUCCAACCGUUGCCGAAAAACAAGCAGUCAAAAUAUUGUUUUCAAACAUACGCUAAAAUAGUGUUUUAUACACGAUACACAAAACAGGCGCAUACAGUACACAACACUCUAAGAGUUUAGGAAACAUGCAUUUAAAACCUUCGGAAAAGGGAAUUCAGUCUGAGAGGCUGGAAGGAUAGUCUAGUGGGACUAGGAGAUUCAGUCUGAGAGGCUGGAGGGAUAGU